rnacentral:rRNA from 1 species
GCGAGUCAUUGUAGCAAUACAAGGCAGACGGCUCAGUAACGCGUAGUCAACCUAACCUAUGGACGGGAAUAACCUCGGGAAACUGAGUAUAAUGCCCGAUAGAACAUUAUGCCUGGAAUGGUUUAUGUUCCAAAUGAUUUAUCGCCGUAGGAUGGGACCGCGGCCUAUCAGUUUGUUGGUGAGGUAAUGGCCCACCAAGACUAUUACAGGUACGGGCUCUGAGAGGAGUAGCCCGGAGAUGGGUACUGAGACACGGACCCAGGCCCUAUGGGGCGCAGCAGGCGAGAAAACUUUGCAAUGUGCGAAAGCACGACAAGGUUAAUCCGAGUGGUUUCUGCUAAAGGAACCUUUUGUUAGUCCUAGAAACACUAACGAAUAAGGGGUGGGCAAGUUCUGGUGUCAGCCGCCGCGGUAAAACCAGCACCUCAAGUGGUCAGGAUGAUUAUUGGGCCUAAAGCAUCCGUAGCCUGCUUUGUAAGUUUUCGGUUAAAUCCAUACGCUCAACGUAUGGGCUGCCGGGAAUACUGCAAAGCUAGGGAGUGGGAGAGGUAGACGGUACUCGGUAGGAAGGGGUAAAAUCCUUUGAUCUAUUGAUGACCACCUGUGGCGAAGGCGGUCUACCAGAACACGUCCGACGGUGAGGGAUGAAAGCUGGGGGAGCAAACCGGAUUAGAUACCCGGGUAGUCCCAGCUGUAAACGAUGCAGACUCGGUGAUGCCCUGGCUUGUGGCCAGUGCAGUGCCGC